AUUGAACGCUGGCGGCAUGCCUUACACAUGCAAGUCGAACGGCAGCACGGGAGCAAUCCUGGUGGCGAGUGGCGAACGGGUGAGUAAUAUAUCGGAACGUGCCCAGUCGUGGGGGAUAACGUAGCGAAAGCUACGCUAAUACCGCAUACGAUCUAUGGAUGAAAGCGGGGGAUCGCAAGACCUCGCGCGAUUGGAGCGGCCGAUAUCAGAUUAGGUAGUUGGUGAGGUAAAGGCUCACCAAGCCGACGAUCUGUAGCUGGUCUGAGAGGACGACCAGCCACACUGGGACUGAGACACGGCCCAGACUCCUACGGGAGGCAGCAGUGGGGAAUUUUGGACAAUGGGCGCAAGCCUGAUCCAGCAAUGCCGCGUGCAGGAUGAAGGCCUUCGGUUGGUUAACGUAGUACUUUUGUUACGGUAACGGAAAC
rnacentral:rRNA from 1 species